GGAGCAGGCGGCCGCAAGGGUCUGUGGUGAAAGACCGAAGCUAAACUUCGGUAAGCCAUGGAAACCGGGCGGCUAGAGUGCGGAAGAGGAUCGUGGAAUUCCAUGUGUAGCGGUGAAAUGCGUAGAUAUAUGGAGGAACACCAGUGGCGAAGGCGACGGUCUGGGCUGCAACUGACGCUCAUUCCCGAAAGCGUGGGGAGCAAACA
rnacentral:rRNA from 1 species